rnacentral:tRNA from 7 species
GGACAGGUGGCAGAGUGGUUGAAUGCACCGGUCUUGAAAACCGGCGUGGGUGCAAGCCCACCGUGGGUUCGAAUCCCACCCUGUCCGCCA